AGCAUUAGGGUUUUAAACCCUAAACUGUACACUUUUCCUUUAGUCAGCAUUAGGGUUUUAAACCCUAAACUGAACUCUUUCCUUUAGUCAGCAUUAGGGUUUUAAACCCUAAACUGAAUACUUUUCCUUUAGUCAGCAUUAGGGUUUUAAACCCUAAACUGAACUCUUUCCUUUAGUCAGCAUUAAGGUUUUAAACCCUAAACUGAACACUUUUCCUUUAGUCAGCAUUAGGGUUUUAAACCCUAAACUGAACUCUUUUCCUUCAGUCAGCAUUAGGGUUUUAAACCCUAAACUGAACUCUUUUCCUUCAGUCAGCAUUAGGGUUUUAAACCCUAAACUGAACUCUUCCCUUUAGUCACCAUUAGGGUUUUAAACCCUAAACUGAACUUUUCCCUUUA
rnacentral:lncRNA from 1 species